rnacentral:rRNA from 1 species
GAAACUGAGUAUAAUGCCCGAUAGAACACUAUACCUUGAAUGGUUUGUGUUCCAAAUGAAUGUCGCCGUAGGAUGGGACUGCGGCCUAUCAGUUUGUUGGUGAGGUAAUGGCCCACCAAGACUAUUACAGGUACGGGCUCUGAGAGGAGUAGCCCGGAGAUGGGUACUGAGACACGGACCCAGGCCCUAUGGGGCGCAGCAGGCGAGAAAACUUUGCAAUGUGCGAAAGCACGACAAGGUUAAUCCGAGUGGUUUGUGCUAAACGAACCUUUUGACAGUCCUAGAAACACUGUUGAAUAAGGGGUGGGCAAGUUCUGGUGUCAGCCGCCGCGGUAAAACCAGCACCUCAAGUGGUCAGGAUGAUUAUUGGGCCUAAAGCAUCCGUAGCCGGCUCUGUAAGUUUUCGGUUAAAUCUGUACGCUCAACGUACAGGCUGCCGGGAAUACUGCAGAGCUAGGGAGUGGGAGAGGUAGACGGUACUCGGUAGGAAGGGGUAAAAUCCCUUGAUCUAUUGAUGACCACCUGUGGCGAAGGCGGUCUACCAGAACACGUCCGACGGUGAGGGAUGAAAGCUGGGGGAGCAAACCGGAUUAGAUACCCGGGUAGUCCCAGCUGUAAACUAUGCAAACUCAGUGAUGCAUUGGCUUGUGGCCAAUGCAGUGCUGCAGGGAAGCCGUUAAGUUUGCCGCCUGGGAAGUACGUACGCAAGUAUGAAACUUAAAGGAAUUGGCGGGGGAGCACCACAAGGGGUGAAGCCUGCGGUUC